AUUGAACGCUGGCGGCAGGCUUAACACAUGCAAGUCGAGCGGAGCGGCGGACGGGUGAGUCAUGCCUAGGAAUCUCCCUCGUAUUGGGGGAUAACGUCCGGAAACGGUCGCUAAUACCGCAUUCUAUCAGAUGGGCCUAGGUCGGAUUCGCUAGUUGGUGGGGUAAAGGCCUACCAAGGCGACGAUCCGUAACUGGUCGGAGAGGAUGAUCAGUCACACUGGAACUGAGACACGGUCAAGACUACUACGGGACGCAGCAGAGGCGAAUAUGGGACAAUGGGCGAAAGUAUGAUCCAACCAGGCCGCGUGUGUGAAGAAGGUCUUCGGAUUGUAAAGCACGUUAAGUGGGGAUGCGUUACCAGCAGAAGAAGCACCGGCUAACUUCGUGCCAGCCGCCGCGGUAAUAC
rnacentral:rRNA from 1 species